CAUCCUCCAAGGCUAAAUACUCCUGACUGACCGAUAGUGAACCAGUACCGUGAGGGAAAGGCGAAAAGAACCCCGGCGAGGGGAGUGAAAAAGAACCUGAAACCGUGUACGUACAAGCAGUGGGAGCCCCACCACUAAGCCAGUGGUGAACUCCACAUACGCAUCCUUUGCUGAGGAUACGGUUAACGGAGCGAAAGCGACGUUCAACCUCAAAAGAAGCAGAGGGGGCUUAGUGGUGGGGUGACUGCGUACCUUUUGUAUAAUGGGUCAGCGACUUAUAUUCUGUAGCAAGGUUAACCGAAUAGGGGAGCCGGAGGGAAACCGAGUCUUAAUUGGGCGUUAAGUUGCAGGGUAUAGACCCGAAACCCGGUGAUCUAGCCAUGGGCAGGUUGAAGGUUGGGUAACACUAACUGGAGGACCGAACCGACUAAUGUUGAAAAAUUAGCGGAUGACCUGUGGCU
rnacentral:rRNA from 2 species